AUUUAUAUAGUUUAAUCAAAACAUUACAUUUUCAUUGUAAAAAUAAUAAAAAUUUAUUUAUAAAUA
rnacentral:tRNA from 1 species